GUUAAUUAUUAAUGCAACAAAUAUUUGAGUGUCUAGUGUGUAGCAGGCAUUGUGUUUAUCCGUUGCAGUAUAGUAGUUAGAAGCUGUUAUCUUUGCCUUCAAAGCACUCCUAUUCUACUAGGUAAUUAAGGAGGAAAUAAAGCAUGCCAAACAACGUGAGAGCUGCCACUUACUGGCGUAUUUCCUUUUUGUCUGUAUUAGCUCACUUAAUCUCAGCAACACAACUGACGGGCACUGUUGUCCCUGUUCUGCACAUAAGGAAAAAGAAAUCUAGAGGCAUGAAGAGAGCUCGCAGGAGGUCUGGUAGCCAGUGAGCAGCAGAGCGGACUGAGCUGACACCUGCGCAACACCCAAGCCCGGGGUGCUGGGAGCUUUACGGUGCCCCUUGUGCCCUUGGACUGUGGUUUCUCACAGACGAAAGAGCAGAAGAACAGGACAACAGGACCAGCCUGCGGUCAGCCCGGAAGGCAGGUGUCAGGGUCAGGCCUCUGCUGCCACCCGUGAGACAUUCAUGCCCUCCCACCCCUGCCAGUUGAUCUGCUUUACACUUCCUGAGCCUCUGAGAGGUGGACAGCAAGCAGGCCACUCCCAGAGUCUGAAAAGUCCACCUUGGGAAGCAGAGAGCUUAGCGCCUUCAUCUUUCAAAGGGGCAAAUGAGUGUGCGUCUGUGCGUAGGUGUGGAGAGAUGAGAUUUGAGCCCUUUCCAGGAAAGCCACCCCUUCAUCCAGCCUGCUCAGAGGCGUGCUCUGGCAUUUGCUGGAUGAUAGAAUGGAGAAAGCUAGAAGUCCCAGACAACUUCAAGGAGAAUGUUUAGCAAGCCAUCAACACUGGGAUUUUUAUAAAGAGAAUCAGCCUUUGGCAGCGGAUGACUGUUUCCCUUCUCAUACAGGCAAGUUCACGUUAGCCAGCACACACACUACUAAUUGGAAAUAAUAUU
rnacentral:lncRNA from 1 species